rnacentral:tRNA from 1 species
GGGGAUUUAGCUCAGCAGUAGAGCGCUUGCCUAGCAAGCAUAAGGCCCUGGGUUCGGUCCCCAGCUCCG